rnacentral:rRNA from 1 species
UACAGAGGUCUCAAGCGUUGUUCGGAUUCAUUGGGCGUAAAGGGUGUGUAGGUGGCGCCGUAAGUCGGGUGUGAAAUUUCGGAGCUUAACUCCGAAACUGCAUUCGAUACUGCGGUGCUUGAGGACUGGAGAGGAGACUGGAAUUCAUGGUGUAGCAGUGAAAUGCGUAGAGAUCAUGAGGAAGACCAGUGGCGAAGGCGGGUCUCUGGGCAAUUCCUGACGCUGAGGCGCGAAAGCGUGGGGAGCGAACAGG